AAGAGCAAAGAGGACUGGGGCUGGGCAGGAACUUGUCUCUUGUAGUUCAGUGGGAUCCAUGUGACCUGAAAGGUAGCCACUUCCCAGGAAGGAUGCCCACAAACCCUCUGCUCACACCAGCUGUGUCUGCCCUACUUAGGUACCCACGCCUGGAAAUAAAAAGCAGGGUCUUGUGUGACCCCUGUUGGAUUUAAAAUCCGUGGGUAACUGAAGUUGACCUUCAACUCCUGAUCUUCCGGGCUCCAACUCCCAAGAGCUGGAACACAGGCGUGCACCGAUAUGCCCAGCUGACCCUUCUGCCUUAUUGGAAUAAGUCCCCAGCACCAGCUUCUUUACAGGGUCCAGGUGGAGCCGGACGCCGCCCCCUGGUGGCAGUGCGAGUCUGCGCUCAGGGCUUGGUAAAGACUUCGCGGCGCCGCUAGCUGAUUGGCCGGCAGGGUUUCCAGAUGCUUUGCAAGUCUGCUGAUGCUGGUGGUCCUCAGACUGCAGCCCUGCCCCUGCCCCUCGGGAUUCAAAUCCAGACUGGGGCCAGCAAAGCUGACUUGUGAACCUGGGGAGUUUCCCGUUUCUCUCCCAUCCUUGUUGUGGUCGUGAAUUCCUCCAGGGCUCAGGAUGGUGAUCCGACACACCAAGGCCAGCAGUACAGCCCGAGGGUGACUGUCCUGCGAGGUCCCCACUUGGUUCUCCUGACAAGUGGGCAGGGAUUCAGUCUGUGGAGAGUCCAAGGAAGACUGGACGAGGUAGACGGAAUUCUUCCAGUUCGGUCCUCCCGGCCGGAUGGUACUGAUUGUGUAGGUGUCUAAAGCUGCCUCUUGGUCCUGAAUCAUCGGGACCCGCUGGGCAGAAUGUCAGAAAGGCAGCGCCUGUCACCCACCAGCCACAGACUCGGAGACUUGUAAAUAGACACCCACGUGUUAAUUUUAUUGCACUCGUAAGUUACCAUUUCUGGCCAUGUGAUGUUUGAGAGUAAAAACAUUUUUCACAUGUUGGCCGCAAUACCCACGCAGCUCUGAAGGCCGUGGUCACCAUCUUCCAUUCGCUGCCUCAACUUGUUUGGAUAUGAGCCGAAAGGUCAGAUCCUCCAACCUCAUCCGGUGCUAUUUCCUCUUAGAUAGUUAACCAAUGUGCUUGUGGACCAGUGAGGCAGCGGGUGAGGCGUGAAAGACGUGUGAGGCGUGAAAGACGUGUUGCCGGCUUUCUUAAAGACUCCCCAGGCUAAAGUCGUCCCUCUAAGGCAGUUUUAACAGAGCCCAGCCUUGAGUGACUUACUGUGGACUGGGUCCCACCACAAAGACCCUUAGGGGUCCCUUGUCAGAUGUGCCCGUUUUCUGACUGAGGCGGGCUCUGUGGGUCAGCCAGUGGCGGAGCUGGGUGUAGGCGGUGUAGCUAGUGUUAGCAUCUGGCCUGAGCUUCCCUGCCCAAAGAGGGCCGACUUGGUCCCUAAGACAGUCCUGUGAUGCAAUUGUCCAGAGGGCCAAGAAGCGAGCGCCUGGAGGGUCACCCUGCAAAUGACCUAAAGGGAGCAACAGGAGAAAUAUAAGGCUUCUUUCCCUGCUAGGUGGCCUGUCUGGGGAAAGAGUUCGGACUGAAUUUCCAAUUGUUUACUGGUGUGUUCCCACAGCUUGUUUCGCUUGCCCGUUUAAUCCUAUCUAGUACCACCUGCCCAGGGGUGGCGCCCGCAACAAUCAUCAAUCUCCAAUAUGUCCCCAGUUCUCUCUUCUUAGGCAAUUUUAUUUUGGGUCGAGCUGACAACUCAAGCAAGCAGGAGGUGCCAAGCUGAACGCCGUGAGGAUAAAGGAAGUGCUUAAGAGUAGAUAUUUACUUUAUCUUGCAUGGAGUGCCAAUAAUGGGUUUGGAAAGAGCGGGAUGUGGCUUCCACGGGUCCUAAAGGGUGUGGGAGUAUUCUGGAUGCAGGGAAGGUGGUAUGAAGGAGAACCAUGAAUGUCCUGAAGAACCCGUUUUUUCAGGCCAGUUCUUGCUUGGCACCACAUAACUAUGUCCAAUGGGCAGUUCUGUUUCUAGAUGAAGGUUCUGGGGGAUUUGAGACACACAUUAGCCUGGUACUGAGAACGUGACAGGAAUACCAGAUAUUUCUGGGUCCAGCUACUGGGCUCUCGUAGACUCGGGCAUGUGAGCCAUGAAUGGUGGUGGGCUGCGUGUCUACUAGAGAAGGGAGUCCCGUGGUUUCGGAUCAUUCUUUGCAUCUUUCCACUGCCAAGUACAUGGUUAUGAUGGUCCCCCAGGGAGUCCUCUCUGGUUUAUAGGAAAAUUCCGGUCUUUGGGGUCUUUUGGAGAGUGGCAGCUACUCAGAGAGUGACAGCUACUCAGAAAGCAGCUGUGAGCAUGGAACAGCAAGGAGGCGUUUGUUUACUGCCUGGGCUCUUAGACACACUCAGUGUUGUGUCUUGGUUAGCUGGGAACUGAAAGGGGACACCCUAGGCCUAGCAUAGGCUCACAGGGAAUGCGGCUGGUCGCUUUCUUGCUGCAUGUAUUGUGGCUUUUGGAAAGAAUUGUGGAUAGGUCAUGAUUCUGGGAGAACCAGGGGGCUAUGAUCCACUCAAUGGAUGAGGCGGGAUGGGGAUGUGGGACAGCCAUCUGGAGAAGGGUGGAAGCCCCCAGCAGUGUCUUCUUUAGGCAGUUUUAAAACCAAGCUGGGUCUCCUUCUGUUACUGAAACAAAGGAGACCUUGCCAAGGUCAUUUCAGACCCAAGGGGGCAGUUACGCUUUUUGCAUUUUUGAUUUAUUGUAAUUUGGUUGGUGUUUGUCCCACCCCCAACAAUCUUCUUCUCCUCCUUGUCCUCCUCUUCCUUUCCUUCAUUUAUCUUCUCUUUCUUCUGAUGAACAGCAUUUCACGUAGCCCAGAUUAUAAUGAGCUCCACAUAGGGCUAAGGUUGAACUUAAACGACUUUUUUUAAAAUAUAUAUAUAUAUAUAUUUAUUUGUAUUUUAUGUGUAUGGGUGUUUUGUCUGCAUGUAUAUCUGUGUACCACAUGCAUGGGCACUGCCCACAGAAGCCAGAGAGGAUGGCAGAUCCCCUGGAACUGGAGUUACAGAUGAUUGUGAGCCUCCAUGUGGGCAUUGGGAAUCAAAUCCUGGGCCUCUAGAAGAGCAAAACAUAACUCUUAACAUCGGAGCCGUCCCUCCAUCUCCCAGGCCUUGAACUCUUGAUCCUUCAAUGCCUUCACCUUCUGAGUGUCAGGAUUGCGGCAUGAGCUACCAUGUUAUUUACUACAUUUGUUUAUUGUGUGUGUGUGUUGUUUAUUGUGUGUGUCUGUUUGUCUUUCCGUCUGUCUUGGGGAGGCAGGGACAGAUGGCUGCGUUGGAAGGAGUGACCUCACAGCUAUAUUGGCUUCCCCUGGACAUUCCAGGUACAGUGGCCACUGUGCAGGCCCUCUCCAACAGCCUUGGUGGUCUCUUUGCUGUGGAUCCCAUGGCUGUGUCUGUGGCCCGAGAUGAGCCCUGAUGCUACAGAAGGCCAAGGACCACAGCGCCACAGGGAGCCACAGUGAGUAGCCUCUGUCCCAAACAAUUCUGCGAGCCAAGAAAGUGUUCCUGCAGAUAAGCAUGCGGUAGUUUUGCACCAGGAGGCCAGCCAGGGCUUGCGUGCCAUCCAAGGGGCUGGCGCUGAGUCGGAGAGCCCGAGUGGGUGGCUGUCCUUUGCAACUUUCCCUCUACGUGUGAUUUUGGAUGGUUUCUCAAGACUGUGGUCAGCUGCAAAAGCUGGUUUGACAGGAAAAUCUGAGGUAGGAACUCUUACCUCUCAGUGCUGCCUUAGGGCAUGGCCCCCUGCUCUUGUUUUCCUUCCUGCCUCAGGAGCAGGCUGGAUGAGGCAGAGGGGUAGGUGAGAUUGGUCCCACUGAGCCCUCUGCAGCCUUGCCUUGCUCUUUCCCUCUGACUGGGUCAGUAAGCAGUCCUUUCUCUUUCGGUUUAAGAAUGGUCUUCAAAAUCUACUUCCUCUAGGAAGUAAGUGUUCCUGGACCAUCCUGUGUGUCCCCUGCCUCCCCUGGAGUCUCCUGUGCCACCCGGAACUGCAUGGCUCUCUGGGGGAGUACACUUGAUCUUGUGCCUGGUGCCAGUCCUUUAUCUCUGUCCUUAGGUUUUGCCAUCCCAGCUCAGGGGGCACCGACAUUGGGUUGCUUAUUUACAGCUGUCCCUGAGCCGGAUCCAUAAGAAGCACUGGGUUAAGUCUUUGUGGUUAAGGUGGUCUUGCUGAGAAUUUUUUUUCUUUUCUUUCCCUCCUCCCUCUCUGUCUAUCCCUUCCCUGUCACCCUCUCCCUCCUCCUUCCUCCCUCAAUCAUUGUCACUCCAUCACCCCCUUCUCUCUUUCCCUGCCCUACAGGAUAUUCCAAUGUAUCUCAGGCUGGCCCCCAACUCCCCAAUCCUCCCAUCUCAUCCUCCUGGCACCAUAUCCAGCCACAUUUAUUAUUCUCAUUUACUCUCCGUGGCCGCCUCUUUAAAAUGGGUUAACUUCUCCCUCCCCAGUGGAUGCAAAUGCUGAGGUUCAGAGAAGUCAAGUGAUUGACACUUUCUAUUUCUCAGCUCACCAAGGCUAGGAAACCAUUGAUUUCAUUCAGACCACUGGUGCAUGUUAAGGGGACUCGGUGAGCUGGAAGGUUCAUGUAGCGGUGUGUGGAAGUGCAGUGAACCAGAAGGAGAUGGGGAGCUUGCAACGGUGACAUCAUAGAAAGUGGUUUGUCUAGGUAGCUCUAGAUUUUGUUGACAGGGACAGAGAGCCGGCUACUUUAGAAGGGUCCUCUGGUACAAGAAGCCUGUUCUGCCCAUCACAUGCAUAAAACACAUCAGAAUUGGAUCUUUAAACUGGGCUUUAUUCAGAGUGCUGAUAAUCUGGGAAGUCAGAAUGAGAUCUGCCUCAGCAACCCCCUUCCUCCAUCCCUUCUCUCUCUCUCUCUCUCUUUCUCUCUCUCUCUCUCUCUCUCUCUCUCUCUCUCUCUCUCUCUCUCUUUAAUGGAGAACCAGGACAAAGGCAACAAAUCAAUUCAAAGUUUAGUCUUGUCCUCGGGUCUGGUGGGUCUUGUUUUCAUUGUCCAUCCACACCCUUCCUCAUAGUAGGGGGAAGCUUUGUAAACACCAAAGCCAUUUACUUAACUUUGCGUUCCUUCUUACCCAUUUGGGUGACGUCUAGAUGGAAGCUUAACCAGAACAAACGGUGAGCAGUGCGCGUGUGCUAAAAUGCUUCCGGCAUGCAUGCAUAGACUCCUUCCUACAGAGUGAUGUCCAAACGCGCUCCUAGAGCAUGCGCUGUUCCCCUCCACUGUGUCCAUAUCACAGGUGUAGUCGGGUAUCAGGGAGCAGGAAGUGGCUCUGAGGGGGUAGGAAGGGUAGGAAGGGGUGAGGUCAUGAGCAAGGAGAGCCCUUUCUCCUGCUAGCUUCCUGGGUGUCCUCCAACAGCCCUUUGCUUUUCUUCAUCCUUCUGUGACGCUGUGCCAUCCGGGGAGUCCCUUCCUCCUUCAUAGGACCUCAAGCUGCGCUGCUAGUGAGAUUUCCUAGACAUUUCUGUAGGCCUUUUACGGAUUAUGUCUAGUCCUCAAGCCUAACAGCGCCUACAGAAUUCAGGUCCUUAGACUCCAGCCUCACUCAUCUGUUUCCAGCGCUUUCUGGGUGGGUCGUUGCCAUAACCUGCUCUGGCCUGCCGCUUCUGCGCACCCUCUUUUUUGUUACCUUCUAGAAUCUUCUAAAACAGGUCAGACCGUGGGCUGGGAAUGUAUCUUACACGGGAGAAUGCUUACACAGUGAGCACGAGGCCCUGGGUUCCAUCUUCAGCACCGUGUCAAUGGGCAUGCUGGCGUACAACUGUCCUCCCAACGCCUGAGAAGUGGAGGUAGAAAGGUCGGAUAUUCAAGGUCAUCCUUGGCUACAUUGAGUUCAAGGCCAGCCUGGGAUGUCUGGGAUCCUGCCUCAAUGUUCAGAAAUAAAACAAAUGGCAAAUCAAACCCACCGCCAACAGAGGCGGAUUCAUGAAGUUUCUGCCGCUCUGCUCAGCUUCCAGCUGCCUGUGGAGGAACACUGAACCCUGCCGUGUACAGUAUUGCUGUGUCCAUGCACGCUGCGCUCUGUUGUGCCUUCAUGCCCUAGGGAUGCCCUCUCCAGUUUGGAAGGGCGCUUUCCACAGCAGCAGAGGCUGAACACUCUCCCCAAAUGUUCCACGUGCUCUCUAAGAAUAGAUGCGCCAUGAGCAGACGGUAGGUGUGUGUGUGUGUGUGUGCGCGCGUGUGCGUGUGUGCAUGUGUGUGCGCGUGUGUGUGUGCAUGUGUGUGCGUGUGUGCGCACGUGUGUUUUCCAGGCUCAUGCUUCGACAAGCAAAUGCUCCAUAUUUCCCCCUCUCCCUAGCAGUGGGAUCAGGAGGAUACAUGAUGAAACGAGGGACCACUGAUGGUAGUUGGCCUAAAUGGAUGAAUCAUGCAAGACAUACAGGGAGGGACCUGGAUGUUGCCGAACCUGAUUAGCAUUUACAAAAGGGAAAUUACCUUUGUGGUAUUCAACUGUGUUACCACAGCAUGACCUAGUCUGUCCUGGUUAAGACUCUCAUUUUCUGCUAGUUAAAAUUGCUGCCUUUAGUGGGACGUGGGGUGCAAAUCUGAAAUGCCAUCCCUCCACCUCCCUCCCUUCGUCUCUUUUAAAAUACUUAUUAUUUAUGUGUGUCUGCAUGUGUUUAUGUGCACCAUACGCGUGCAGGUGCCAGUGGAGGUUGGAAGAGGGUGUCAUAUCCUCUGGAACUGAAAUUACAGGGGGACGUGAGCCCCUGAUGUGGUUGCUGGGACCCAAACCUAGAUCCUCUCACUAAGAGCAGCAAGUGCUCUUAACUGCUGAGCAAGCUCCCCAGGCCCCGAUUGCUACUCUUCUAAGUCUCCCAGAACCAGCCCUUUCCUAGUGAAGAUUAAUCCCUUCCCUUUGGGCUUUUGUGGUGUGUGUGAUUUAGGCCCAUUUGACUCUUCAUGCUUAGCGUCACGAUUGCUUGUGUGUGUGCAGUGACAGAAUGGUCAGGAGAUAUGAACCCUGGAGUCAGACGGACUGUGUUCACCCCUCAGCCCUGCCGGUUACCAUCACUGAGAUUGUCAUUGAGCUAUUCGGUCUUCUGUAACCUUGGUUCAUGCUUGCACACCCCCACCCCUACCCCAGGGUUUACCAGGGCACCUGAUGUUAUUAUAACUGAUACCUGUUUGCUAGCUUUCUUAUAUUUUAUCUUUGUGAAUGAGGUGUCAGGAAAAGGUACCAAGCACCAGGAGUCAGUGUAAAGAUAGAAGGUUCUGGAAACCAGGGGCCCUGACAAGCACAAUAGGUUAUUUGGCUGUAACAUAGCCUGACAACAGUUUUCUCCUGCAAAUUAAUUCUCACUGCACAGGUAGAACCCCGAGGAGGGAGAGGAGCUGCCUGCUCUGUCCUGAGAACCGUGUUCUCCAUUGUUUCUAUGCAUCCAUCGAGAUGAUUUUGUGAUUUUAGUUUUCUACUAGUGUGAUGAUGGUUUGAAAGAAAAAUGGCUCCCAAAGAGAGUGGCACAAUUAGAAUGUGGCUUGUCGAAGUAGGUGUGGCCUUGUUGGAGGAAGUGCGUCACAAGGUGGGGGUGGGCUCUGAGGUCUCUUCUGCUCAAGCUUCCCUCAGUGUGACAAUCGGUUGACUUCCUGUUGCCUAGAAGAUGUAGCACUCUCAGCUCCAGCACCACGUCUGCCUGCAUGCCGCCACUCUCCCCAUCAUUAUGAUAAUGGACCGAACCUCUGAAACUUUAAGUGAGCCAUCCCAAUUAAAUGUUUUCUUUACAAGAGUUGCCAAGGUCAUGGUGUCUGUUCACAGCAGUAAAAAAAAAAAAACCUAGGUGAGACAACAGGUGUGAUGAGCUAUUUCAGGUGAUUCUUUCUCUCCAGGGCUGGACAUUGAAGCUUGGGGCUCAAGUGUGUCCAAGUGAGCUACACCCUCAGCACAGCUUGACUGAAUUUAGAAUAUUAAAUCACUAUUGCAUUCCUGGAAUAAAGCCUAGACUCUCAUGUUUGCUUGAUUUGAGUCACUAAUAUUUUAUUUAUAAUUUUGCAUCUGUGCUCAUGGUGUGUGGUGGUGGUGGUGGUGGUGGUGUGUGUGUGUGUGUGUGUGUGUGACAGUAUCUCAUCUCACUCUGUAGCCUGGCUGGCUUGAAGCUCACUAUAUAGACUAAGCUCAUCUCUCAAAAGUAUGGUCCUUUUGCUUCUGACCCCAUCCCCAGUGUUGAUAUUGCAUGCAUGACCCACCCCACUUGGCUGCAUCUGUUCUUAUAAUUAAAAGUUAUUUUUCUUCCCUUAGGAAACCAUUUUCCUCAGUCCAGUUUUGAAGCUCUCGAGUUCACAACAGAUAUGGUAGGUAUAAGGGACCAGUCCAAUGUGGCUGUCACCCAUUUCAGAUGCCAUUCACAAGUCUAGGACUUCUAGCAACUGGUUCAAGAUCUCAGGAUCUCCACACCCCACUUCAGGUUUGGCAAUUUGCUAGAACAAAUUAGUAAAUCACUUUAUUGAUGGUUACUGAUUUAUUGUAAAGGGGACAACUUAGAAUCAGCCAAGCGGAAGCUAUGCAGAACAAAAGGUAUGGGGGAUGGUGUAUAGAGCUCCCUCACCCUGUCUGGUACACCAUCCUCCGAGCCAGGGAAAGGUGCCACCCAGGUAGGUGGAUCUUCCUACUUUGGUUAACACAACCAAGAUGUCCAGAGGCCCAGGUUCCAGGUGAUUCUAGUUUCUGAAAAGUUGACUGUUGUAGGGUAUUAGUUUAAGAUGUGUGACAUUAGUUUAUCCUGUGGGAUAUUUAUUUGAUAAUGCAAAGAUAUACUACAUUCUCUUAGGUUGCAUUUAUCUAACUCUGUGAAGCUGUGUGACUUUGCCUGCCUAAAACAUCUGGUUAGUCUAAUAAAGAUCUGAAUGGCCAAUAGCUAGGUAGGAUAGAGAAAUAGGCAGGACUGGUGGGCAGAGAUAAUUAAAUAGGAGGAAGAAGAAUGAGGAACAAGAAAAGGAGAAAGAGAGAAGGAGGACACCAGGGUCAGCCACCCAGCUACACAACCAGCCAUGGAAUAAGAAGAAAAGAAAGAUAUAUAGAAUAAAGAAAGCCCAGAAGCAAAACAUAAAAGAGAAAUGGGUUAAUUUAAGUUAGAAAAAGCUGGCCAGAAAAAAGCCAAGCUAAGGCCAGGAAUUCAUAAGUUGGAAUAAGUCUCCAUGUAUUUAUUUGGGAGUCUUAUUUAUUUGGUGGGCUCCCAAAGAGUAAAAUUAAAAAAUAAAAAAAAAACA